CCUACGGGGUGCAGCAGUGGGGAAUAUUGGACAAUGGGCGAAAGCCUGAUCCAGCCAUGCCGCGUGUGUGAAGAAGGCCUUCGGGUUGUAAAGCACUUUCAGUGGGGAAGAAAGCCUUGGGGCUAAUACCCUCGAGGAAGGACAUCACCCACAGAAGAAGCACCGGCUAACUCCGUGCCAGCAGCCGCGGUAAUACGGAGGGUGCGAGCGUUAAUCGGAAUUACUGGGCGUAAAGCGCGCGUAGGCGGUCUGAUAAGCCGGUUGUGAAAGCCCCGGGCUCAACCUGGGAACGGCAUCCGGAACUGUCAGGCUAGAGUGCAGGAGAGGAAGGUAGAAUUCCCGGUGUAGCGGUGAAAUGCGUAGAGAUCGGGAGGAAUACCAGUGGCGAAGGCGGCCUUCUGGACUAACACUGACGCUGAGGUGCGAAAGCGUGGGUAGCAAACAGGAUUAGAUACCCCGGUAGUC
rnacentral:rRNA from 1 species